rnacentral:rRNA from 1 species
GUCGAGCGAACGGAUGGGAGCUUGCCUCCCUGUAUGUUAUACGCGCGCGACAGGGGAGUAUCACGUGUGUGUCCUGCCUGUAUGACAGUGGGAUCUCCGGGGGAAAGGGGGGCUUACCGGAUAUAACAUUUUGAACCGCAUGGUUCAAAAUUGAAAGGCGGCUUCCGCUGUCUCUUAUAGAUGGCCCCGCGUCACUUUCUCUUUUUGGAGGUGUAGCGGCUCCCCAGGGACAAUAUGCAUCCCAGACCUGAGGGGGAGAUCGGCCACUGGGACUGAGACACACCCCCCACACCCCUACGAGGGGCAACUAUGGGAUCUCCCCCGCAGGGGAAAAAUCUCAGAGAGAACCGCCCCGCGAGUGAGAUGAGGGCUUUCAUCGCAUAAAUCUCUGUUGUUAGGGAAGAACAAGUGCUAGUUGAAUAAGCUGGCCUUUUGGCGGUAUCUAACCAAAAAGCCGCGGAUAACUACGUGCCAACCGCCGCGAAAAUACAUAGGUGGCACGCGUUCUGCAGAAUUAGUGGGCGUAAGGCGCGCACAGGUGGUUUCUUAUCUCUGAUGUGAACCCCCGCGGCUCACCCGAGGAGUCUCUGUGACCAGUGGAACACUUGAGUGCAGAAGAGGAGAGUAUAUUUCCAUGUGUAGCGGAAAUAUGCAUAGAUAUGUGGAAGCACACCUGUGGAGAGCGAGACUUUCUGCUGUGUAUCAGACAGAGAAGCGCAAACGCGUGGAGAGCACACAAGAUUAUACCCCGUGGUUGUCCACGCCAUACACGAUGAGUGCUGAGUGUAAGGAGUUUUUCCCCCCCUUAU